CCUUAGAUGUCCUGGGCCGCACGCGCGUUACACUGAUGCAUUCAACGAGCUUAUAACCUUGGCCGAGAGGCCUGGGCAAUCUUGUUAACGUGCAUCGUGAUAGGGAUAGAUUAUUGAAAUUAUUAAUCUUGAACGAGGAAUUCCUAGUAAACGCAGAUCAUCAAUCUGCAUUGAUUACGUCCCUGCCCUUUGUACACACCGCCCGUCGCACCUACCGAUUGGAUGGUCCGGUGAAGCCUCGGGAUUGUGGUUCUUGCCGCUUUAUUGUGGCGUGACCGCGAGAACUUGUCUAAACCUUAUCAUCUAGAGGAAGGUGAAGUCGUAACA
rnacentral:rRNA from 1 species